GGACCAUUGGCAGAGACGGGUUGCCAUUGGAGCAGGUGUGUCAUCAGAUCUCUCCGCUCGCCUGGUUGCCCCUCCCUGCGCCACUCACCUUGGCUUUCGCAAUGGCCGUUCUAGGGGGCAGGUGGAGUCAGCGAUGAUCCCCGACGUCCAUGACGGAUGGGGCCCUUCUGCGCUUGGCCCCAUGGCAGACUCCGUUGUGUCGACGAAAGCUAGUCGGCAGUCUACCUUGGGGUAUACCCACGGUAGUAGUUUAUCGGUAGACGGUGCGCAAACUACGAACUCGAUGGUGACGCAAGACACGGACAAGCUUUUUAUCCAGGUUCGGCCGCCGAGUUGGCGUAAUACCUACGUCCUGCGUCUGGUUGUAUUGAUUUGUGUUGAGAGAAUCGUAUGUAUGAUGUGAUGACUUGUCCUCUAGGGGACCCCUGCCCCUCCUUAUAUAUCCUGAAGGGACAGAGUUACAAGCAAAGUAUCCUAUUUGGUACAAAAUCUUGUAGCCUUGCGGUGCACGCCGACCAGUCGUGCGCCGCACGCCUUCAUCUUGUGGGCCGAGCCACCUCUGACGGUGCGGCCCAUAUAGGCCCAUGAGGGUAUAGGGGUUUAUACCCCCACAGCUAGUCCCCGAGCACCAUGUAUUAUGAUGUAACACGCCGUCUUGAGCUUCUUCGAUUAGUGAGGCUUGACGUCUUCAAUAAGCAGAAAAGUCGCCCAAACAGUUGCAACGGUAUUUUGACCAACUCAAAAGACAGUUGAUCAACAUUGACAUCGAAGAAGCAGGUUGUUCGAAGAAUGCAUGGUGCUCUAAAAAAGAUUUUUUCCUGGUGAAGUGUGCCCACUUUACUUUUCUAAAAAGUAUAGACCUCAAAAAAGCAAGCAAAUUCACCGCUAGGUGAAGUGUGCCCACUUAGUCCCCGAGCCUGGUAGUAGGUGACGUAGGCACGUGGUGCCAGGGUCAAAAGAAAAUUCCCCAAAGUAGUUUUGAGACUGAGAUGCAUCGCUAGAUGCAUCGUACCGAUGUAGUCCCCGAGCUUGCUGGAAGGCGAAGUAUGAGCCUUGUAGCAAGGUCAAAAGUGAAUUUACCAGUCCCCGAGCAUGUCGUGCUCGUCUGCAAAUGAAAAGACCAAUCGACCAGUCCCCGAGCGUCGAGUGCUCGGUGGUCGGUGCAGUCCUUGAAGCUCCGAGCUAAUAGACUGGGCGACCAGUCCCCGAGCGUCGAGUGCUCGGUGGUCGGUGCAGUCCUUGAAGUUCCGAGCUGAUGGACUGGGCGACCAGUCCCCGAGCAUCAAUUGCUCUGUGGUCGGUGCAGUCCCCAAGUUCAUAAAUUGGUGAGCUGGUCGACCAGUCCCCGAGCGUAUAGUGCUCGGUGGUCGGCACAGUCCCCGAGCACGGCGUAGGGACCGGUGGACAAGUCCCCGAGCGUGGUUGGGAACGUAAACGUGCUCGGUGGUCGGCACAGUCUUCGAGCACAGCAUAGAGAGUAGUCGACAAGUCCCCGAGCGUGGUUGGGAACGUAAACGUGCUCGGUGGUCGGAGCAGUCCCCGGGCACAGCGUAGGGAAUAGUCGACGAGUCCCCGAGCGUAGCUUGUCGACUGGGCCAAACCCCUGAAAAAUAAAUAUAAAGAAUUGGUAGUACAUGAUGUAUAAAUAAACUUUAGACAAAAAUCAGUACUGAGAUAAGUUUUAGAUUUUUUGUUAUAAAAUUAGCACAAGUAGUUAAUUCAUCCUAGAGCUUGUACCAGCUCUGGUCUAGCCAACAAUCAGCAUGAGGUGCGGAACCUAGGCACGCGUAGGAUUGCCAGCCUCGCCAGAGAGCUACUGCCGACCACCCGGAACGCAGAGGGCGGAUCUCGUGCACGUGUAGGGAGGAGUCGGAGACAGUGCCGGCUCUGGAAAGCUCGUGUAGGAGAAAAAACUAGUCGGCUAAAAAAGUUGUUUUAAAGAAUAAUAAUAUUAAAAAUAUUAUGCCAAAAAUAAAUAAAAUAUUAGAAGUGUACUUAUCUUUGAAAGAAAGUCUAGUCGGUGACGACAAAAUUGUCCGGCCCUCGAGCUUUUCGACUUGUCAUGACGGUGGUCGCUGUUGUCAUAGCGUCGUUCUCCGCGACGAUUAUUAUUGCGACUGGUGGUCAGAGCAAGUAGGCUAAACAAUUUGGUCGAUGGCCCGAGCAGGUCGGUGUUGUCGAUCUGCCUCCCUUUGUAGCAGGGAAGCGUGCGACGCGUUGUCGGCGUGGUCGGAGACGUUGCUGGUGUGGUCGAAGCCGUAGCCAGCGUGGUUGGAGCUCCAUCCGACGUCGGUGAAGAAGUGAUCGACACAGAUUGGAUCUACGCCUCCUUCGUGGUCAUGGCGGUGAAGUUGUUGAAGCUGACGGUGAACGUGAAGUCGCCCGCCAUGGCCGCGAAGUCGGGGAUGAUGGCCAUCUUGUUCGUCGGGAGAGCUGUACGCACACCCCCUACCUGGCGCGCCACUGUCAACGAAAGCUGGUCGGCAGUCUACCUUGGGGUAUACCCACGGUAGUAGUUUAUCGGUAGACGGUGCGCAAACUACGAACUCGAUGGUGACGCAAGACACGGACAAGCUUUUUAUCCAGGUUCGGCCGCCGAGUUGGCGUAAUACCUACGUCCUGCGUCUGGUUGUAUUGAUUUGUGUUGAGAGAAUCGUAUGUAUGAUGUGAUGACUUGUCCUCUAGGGGACCCCUGCCCCUCCUUAUAUAUCCUGAAGGGACAGAGUUACAAGCAAAGUAUCCUAUUUGGUACAAAAUCUUGUAGCCUUGCGGUGCACGCCGACCAGUCGUGCGCCGCACGCCUUCAUCUUGUGGGCCGAGCCACCUCUGAUGGUGCGGCCCAUAUAGGCCCAUGAGGGUAUAGGGGUUUAUACCCCCACACGUUGCGGAUGGUUGGGGUGGGUGGUGGCAUGCUGAAUCGAGAUAGGAGGGCGGUAGGAGAGGAUAGGUCCUCGAGUGUGUCUACCUGCCUAGGGCCACGCUUCCCCUUCUCCAGACAGAUGCAUGGCGUCCAAGGAUGGCGCUUGUCGCGCAUCGUACCCGCGUGCUCUCGGUUAUGCCUCUGCAGCUGAUGGCGUUGUACCUAGUGAACACUGCAUGGCGGCCUUGCCAUCUCCUCUUGGAAAAUCACGGCCGGACCUCCUUGCUGGUGAGUCAUUCGUUCCCCUUUUCUACCCGACCAGUUGAGGCCCUCGCUCUCUAUCCUUGUGCCCAUUGCAGACACUUGACUCUCCUAUUUCUCUCUAAUCCUUAGGUCUAGACAGCCGAGCCCCAACAAUCCCACACGUAAGAUGCUCAGCUUGAUUUAUGUGCAUUCUUAUCUGCUGCCUCUUGUGUUGAUCUUGGCCAGGGGACUGGUUUCAUGUUUUGUGAUACCGUGUUGUAUGUUGUGCCUGUAGCUAACCUCCUCAAGAGAUGGCGUUGGUGACCUAAGCUCGUGGGGAUCAUACGUUCUUCCUUGGGUGCAUCGUCUUAGGAGGUUUGUAAUCUCUUCCUUGUCUAACAAUUCUAUAUAGGAGUCCUUUGUUGCUGUCCUUGGCCACCAGAUUGUUGUAGAGGACUUCAACUUUUGUGGGAAGAUGUUUUCUUUUGGGUCUCAUGGUUAGAGGUGUGAUUUAAGUAGGCUGCUGCCAGGUCUUUCUGCUGAAACAUGGAUUGAUUGGCCAUUGUAUACACUGCUCCAAUUUAUCCUUCCUGAAAUUAUGAUGUUCUUUGCCAGUGUAGUGGUGAGGCAUGCCCUCAGAGAUAAAAAUCCUUUGAUUCUAAUUAACACGUAAAGAUAACAUGGUUCUAGAGACUAAAGUUGACUCUAUGAUUCUUGGUGACCGCAUACAGAGUAAUAAUGUUGACACUGUUUUUGGACACGUAUCUUUUGACACGUACCUGGGGAUUAGUAAAGCAUAGAUCGGCGGAUGAAGCAACGGUAACUAGUCUGCAGGGAAGUUGCUAAUGAAGAGGCAGUUAAAUGUGACUAAGUCCAGAGGUGGUGACGUGUUCGUGCCGAUGCUCAGUGUUAGUGUUUGUCGAUGGCCACAACUGGAGGUCUGUCGAUGACUCUGAAGGAAAGCGUGGAGAUUGCCGAUUGAUCUGUGGCGGUGCCCCGGUCGGUUACAAGAGGGUAGUUUUAUAUUUUCCUUAGUUAUUAGAAUUCGUUUUGUGUACGGGUUCCGUUUAGUUUGGAAUUCGAGUCCUGGUCGUGUCUGGUUGUAGCUCUUCAGACAGGGUAUAAAUAUAGACCCUAAGGCAAUGUAGUGAGACAAUCUAUCAAUCAAUUAAACACAAGUUUUUACUCAUAUUCCAACAUCUACUUUUUCGACGACUUCGUCAUAUUUUCUUUUUAUUACGAGUUCUUAGGAAUUCGUCGACUUAAGCUCGGCGUGUUCUCAAGUUCCGCGUGAUCACCUCUUGGCCGUGACAUCCGGGCGCAUCGCUGUUGUCGGGACUAAAGUGAUCGAGUUACCACCUUUGUCGAUUGAAAGGUCAAAUCGGCUGGCACGCCUUAACGUUUAAAUCGGGUAUUAGCCCUUUGUGUUCGCAAAUCAGUUUUGCAUCAACAAAUAAUUACAUGGUUCUAAAUGGCAUGUUUGACGAAAUUGUGCAAAUUCCCUUUCCAUAGCAAAAUGGUUUGCUCCAUAUGUAAAUAUAUUUUGUCACAUAGUUUAAGAUUGUAUGGCUAUCAGGCUAGCUAGAGUUGGUUAGUUUACUUGCUUAGCUCUAAUAAUAAUUGAGGUGUCCGAAGAUGCUAUGCUUGGAUAUGUUCCAUCCCUUCGUCGCAGCAUAGUUGCCAUCAGUAAGAACAAUCAGAUGGUCACCUAAAGCUAAAUGCCAACAGAGGAAUUGUGUACAUAUUUUAGAGAUUGUCACUACUAUUUUCAGUAUUGUAGGUAUACGUGUAGAUAUCGGUUUCAAGUUUGUUUAAACCAGCUAGUUAUCUGAUAUUUUCUAGGAGAACAUGUGUGCUUCAUUAGCAUGCUCUGCUUAGUUGCUAUUUGCAUGAGACUUGCUACAUGUGUCUAUUUCUUUGGUUCCGAUCUGUACAUGUUGAAUGUUUCAGCAGAAAGUGCACGGACUGAAGGCACCUUUAAAUGGCUCUAAUUUCAUUUUGCAUAUGUAUGUCUUAAGAUGCUAAUAUUGUGUGUCUAUUUGUUUGAUUCUGAUUCGUACAUGUUGAAUGUUUCUGCAGAAAUGCAAGGCCUGAACGCACCUAUAAACUGCUCUGAUUUCAUUAUGCAUAUGUAUGGCUUGUUUUGCUUGAACUGGCUGUUCUUAAGAUGCUAAUAUGCGGUUACGGUUACUAUUCUUUUCAUGCCCUCUCCAUUCUUACUGAUCUAAUGUAUUUGGCGUAUGUGACUACACUAAUACUGUUCUUUUGGUGAUCUCUCCAUUAUCCAUCUUCUUUGCUUGUGUAAAAGAGGUACUUGUGCCUGGCCCAGACUUACUACAACAUCUACUCAUUGAGCUUAUGUAUCUUGUAGGGAAGGCUGCAGGCUCUAGUGCUGAUCCGCCGCUUUCCAGUGUGCAUUUGUGCCACGUUUCAACUGUAAGUCCGCUAUAUGUGGUCAUGAUGUUCGUAAUGUUUGUAGGGUUUUGCUGCUUGUGUGUUUUACUUCCUGUAAGUCCACCGUAUUAUUAAUAUAUAGUCUAACUUUUCCAAAAUAACAUUUAAUAUUCAGUUCUUGUCAAGUUGAAUUAACUGAUUCAUCUUCGUAAGGUUAUAUCUAAAAAUAUUAUAUUCAGACAAACAAAUCAUUUUCAUAUUUACAUGGCAUGUGGCACUUGCAAUAAGAAGAUUUUCUUUUUUGUUUAUGGUACAAACAUCAGCCUCAUUGUCUCUUGUAUUAACAAUGCAGCAACUCAAGAUAACUAAUUAGUGAAGGAAGGUCAAAGUGCUUUUGCUUCUACCAGUUGCAGUGAAGUGCUCUUUAGUGUGUAUCUGAAACCUCGCUCACAAUUGAUGUUCACCACUUUUUUAGUUUCUCUGUAGCUUUAUAAAUGUACUCUAAUGAUCAACCGUAUAUUUUGGAUCGGCAUUCUAAGCUACCAACCAUAGUGCUCGGUAGCUAUGAAUUCCGAUCUAAACUAUAAUGAAUCAGUAUGUAAUGUAUGGCCGCAUAGAACCAUAAUGGCUAUGGUAGCCAUGCAUGUAGUGAAGGAUCUUGUAACCUGUGGCUGAACAGAACCAUAAUGGCUGCGAUGGCCAUGCACCUUUGAGUGCUUCAUUUCAUCUAGAUUUCUCUUCUCCUGUGAAAAUGUUAGUUCAUGUUUUGUGCCUACCAAUUUUAGUGGAACAAGAGGCACCGUUUGAUGAAUUACUAGGAUGUGAUGGUUAUAUGUAUAGUGUAUGAUUCGCAGACCAGAUACAAUAGAGCUUGUAUAUUAUUGUGUUAAUUAGAUCUUAGUGUUGUUGUGUAAUUACAGAUCCAUAUCUAUUAAGCGUUGAA
rnacentral:lncRNA from 1 species